CCUACGGGAGGCAGCAGUGGGGAAUAUUGCGCAAUGGGCGAAAGCCUGACGCAGCAACGCCGCGUGCGGGAUGAAGGCCUUCGGGUUGUAAACCGCUUUCAGCAGGGAAGAAGCGAAAGUGACGGUACCUGCAGAAGAAGCACCGGCUAACUACGUGCCAGCAGCCGCGGUAAUACGUAGGGUGCAAGCGUUGUCCGGAUUUAUUGGGCGUAAAGAGCUCGUAGGCGGUCAGUCACGUCGGAUGUGAAAUCCCAGAGCUUAACUCUGGGCCUGCAUUCGAUACGGGCUGACUAGAGUGUUGUAGGGGAGACUGGAACUCCUGGUGUAGCGGUGAAAUGCGCAGAUAUCAGGAAGAACACCGGUGGCGAAGGCGGGUCUCUGGGCAACUACUGACGCUGAGGAGCGAAAGCGUGGGGAGCAAACAGGAUUAGAUACCCUGGUAGUCCACGCCGUAAACGGUGGGCGCUAGGUGUGGGGAACAUUCCACGUUCUCCGUGCCGCAGCUAACGCAUUAAGCGCCCCGCCUGGGGAGUACGGCCGCAAGGCUAAAACUCAAAGGAAUUGACGG
rnacentral:rRNA from 1 species